rnacentral:rRNA from 1 species
UACGUAGGGUCCGAGCGUUGUCCGGAAUUAUUGGGCGUAAAGGGCUCGUAGGCGGUUUGUCGCGUCGGGAGUGAAAACCAGGUGCUUAACACCUGGCCUGCUUUCGAUACGGGCAGACUAGAGGCAUUCAGGGGAGAACGGAAUUCCUGGUGUAGCGGUGAAAUGACGCAGAUAUCAGGAGGAACACCGGUGGCGAAGGCGGUUCUCUGGGACGGUACUGACACUGAGACGCGAAAGCGUGGGGAGCGAACAGG